CUGCUCGCUUCGGCAGCACAUAUACUAAAAUUGGAAUGAUACAGAGAAGAUUAGCAUGGCCCCUGCGCAAGGAUGACUUCUUUUAAUUUUUUAAAAUAAAAUAAAUUU
ensembl:snRNA U6 U6 spliceosomal RNA